rnacentral:rRNA from 1 species
CAUGCAGUCGAACGGCAGCACGGACUUCGGUCUGGUGGCGAGUGGCGAACGGGUGAGUAAUGUAUCGGAACGUGCCUAGUAGCGGGGGAUAACUACGCGAAAGCGUAGCUAAUACCGCAUACGCCCUACGGGGGAAAGCAGGGGAUCGCAAGACCUUGCACUAUUAGAGCGGCCGAUAUCGGAUUAGCUAGUUGGUGGGGUAACGGCUCACCAAGGCGACGAUCCGUAGCUGGUUUGAGAGGACGACCAGCCACACUGGGACUGAGACACGGCCCAGACUCCUACGGGAGGCAGCAGUGGGGAAUUUUGGACAAUGGGGGAAACCC